UACGUAGGUGGCAAGCGUUAUCCGGAAUUAUUGGGCGUAAAGCGCGCGCAGGUGGUUUCUUAAGUCUGAUGUGAAAGCCCACGGCUCAACCGUGGAGGGUCAUUGGAAACUGGGAGACUUGAGUGCAGAAGAGGAAAGUGGAAUUCCAUGUGUAGCGGUGAAAUGCGUAGAGAUAUGGAGGAACACCAGUGGCGAAGGCGACUUUCUGGUCUGUAACUGACACUGAAGCGCGAAAGCGUGGGGAGCAAAC
rnacentral:rRNA from 1 species